rnacentral:tRNA from 2 species
UAUCCGAGUGCUGGAAUUGGUAGACAGGAUAAACUUAAGAUUUAUUGAUAUAAUAUCGUAAACGUUCAAGUCGUUUUUCGGAUAA